UACGAAGGGUGCAAGCGUUACUCGGAAUUACUGGGCGUAAAGCGCACGCAGGCGGUUCGCCAAGUUUGGAGUGACAGUUGUCGGCUCAACCGACAAAGGACUUCAAAAACUGGUGAACUUGAGGACGAGAGAGGAACAUGGAACUCCAGGUGUAGUAGUGAAAUGCGUAGAUAUCCGGAGGAAUACCAAAGGCGAAGGCAGUGUCCUGGCUGGCAACUGACGCUGAGGCGCGAAAGCUAGGGGAGCGAACAGG
rnacentral:rRNA from 1 species